AACGAACGCUGGCGGCAUGCCUAACACAUGCAAGUCGAACGAGACCUUCGGGUCUAGUGGCGCACGGGUGCGUAACGCGUGGGAACCUGCCCUUAGGUUCGGAAUAACUCCCCGAAAGGGGUGCUAAUACCGGAUAAUGUCUUCGGACCAAAGAUUUAUCGCCUUUGGAUGGGCCCGCGUUGGAUUAGCUAGUUGGUAGGGUAAAAGCCUACCAAGGAGACGAUCCAUAGCUGGUCUGAGAGGAUGAUCAGCUACACUGGGACUGAGACACGGCCCAGAAUCGUACGGGAGGGAGCAGUGGGGAAUAUUGGACAAUGGGCGAAAGUCUGAUACAGCAAUGCCGGGUGAGUGAUGAAGGGCUUAGGGUUGUAAAGCUCUUUUACCCGGGAUGAUAAUGACAGUACCGGGAGAAUAAGCUCCGGCUAACUACGUG
rnacentral:rRNA from 1 species